rnacentral:rRNA from 1 species
AACGAACGCUGGCGGCAGGCUUAACACAUGCAAGUCGAGCGCCCCGCAAGGGGAGCGGCAGACGGGUGAGUAACGCGUGGGAAUCUACCCAUCCCUACGGAAUAGCUCCGGGAAACUGGAAUUAAUACCGUAUACGCCCUACGGGGGAAAGAUUUAUCGGGGAUGGAUGAGCCCGCGUUGGAUUAGCUAGUUGGUGGGGUAAAGGCCUACCAAGGCGACGAUCCAUAGCUGGUCUGAGAGGAUGAUCAGCCACAUUGGGACUGAGACACGGCCCAAACUCCUACGGGAGGCAGCAGUGGGGAAUAUUGGACAAUGGGGGCAACCCUGAUCCAGCCAUGCCGCGUGAGUGAUGGAGGCCUUAGGGUUGUAAAGCUCUUUCACCGGGGAAGAUAAUGACGGUACCCGGGGAAGAAGCCCCGGCUAACUUCGUGCCAGCAGCCGCCGUAA